rnacentral:tRNA from 1 species
GCGCCCAUAGCUCAGUUGGAUAGAGCAUCUGCCUUCUAAGCAGAGGGUCGCAGGUUCAAAUCCUGCUGGGCGCG